GUGGGUGAUCUGCCCUGCACUUCGGGAUAAGCUUGGGAAACUGGGUCUAAUACCGGAUAGGAGCCAUCUUUAGUGUGGUGGUUGGAAAGUUUUUCGGUGUAGGAUGAGCUCGCGGCCUAUCAGCUUGUUGGUGGGGUAAUGGCCUACCAAGGCGGCGACGGGUAGCCGGCCUGAGAGGGUGUACGGCCACAUUGGGACUGAGAUACGGCCCAG
rnacentral:rRNA from 1 species